AGUGGCGGACGGGUGAGUACGCGUGGGUAACCUGGCCUCAUACAGGGGAUAACAGUCGGAAACGAUUGCUAAAACCGCAUAAUAUAGCGAAACCGCAUGAUUUUGCUAUCAAAUAUUUAUAGGUAUGAGAUGGGCCCGCGUCUGAUUAGCUAGUUGGUGGGGUAAUAGCCUACCAAGGCGACGAUCAGUAGCCGGCUUGAGAGAGUGACCGGCCACAUUGGGACUGAGACACGGCCCAAACUCCUACGGGAGGCAGCAGUGGGGAAUAUUGGACAAUGGGGGAAACCCUGAUCCAGCGACGCCCGCGUGAGUGAAGAAGUAUUUCGGUAUGUAAAGCUCUAUCAGCAGGGAAGAUAAUGACAGUACCUGACUAAGAAGCCCCGGCUAACUACGUGCCAGCAGCAGC
rnacentral:rRNA from 1 species